rnacentral:rRNA from 1 species
GAUGAACGCUAGCUACAGGCUUAACACAUGCAAGUCGAGGGGAAACGAUGAGAGAGCUUGCUCUCUUAGUCGUCGACCGGCGCACGGGUGAGUAACGCGUAUCCAACCUGCCUCUGACCAAGGGAUAACCCGUCGAAAGUCGGACUAAUACCUUAUGCAGUCGUCGGAAGUCAUCUGAUGACGACGAAAGAUUUCAUCGGGGAGAGAUGGGGAUGCGUCUGAUUAGCUUGUUGGCGGGGUAACGGCCCACCAAGGCGACGAUCAGUGGGGGUUCUGAGAGGAAGGUCCCCCACAUUGGAACUGAGACACGGUCCAAACUCCUACGGGAGGCAGCAGUGAGGAAUAUUGGUCGAUGGGCGUAAGCCUGAACCAGCCAAGUAGCGUGCAGGAUGACGGCCCUAUGGGUUGUAAACUGCUUUUAUGCGGGGAUAAAGUGAGGGACGUGUCCUUCAUUGCAGGUACCGCAUGAAUAAGGACCGGCUAAUUCCGUG